rnacentral:rRNA from 1 species
GAUGAACGCUGGCGGCGUGCUUAACACAUGCAAGUCGAACGGAAAGGCUCCUGCUUGCAGGGGUACUCGAGUGGCGAACGGGUGAGUAACACGUGGGUGAUCUGCCCUGCACUUCGGGAUAAGCCUGGGAAACUGGGUCUACUACCGGAUAGGACGAUGGCUUGGAUGCCAUUGUGGAAAGUUUUUUCGGUGUGGGAUAGGCUCGCGGCCUAUCAGCUUGUUGGUGGGGUAAUGGCCUACCAAGGCGUCGACGGGUAGCCGGCCUGAGAGGGUGUACGGCCACAGUGGGACUGAGAGACGGACCAGACUCCUACGGGAGGCAGCAGUGGGGAAUAUUGCACAAUGGGCGCAAGCCUGAUGCAGCGACGCCGCGUGGGGGAUGACGGCCUUCGGGUUGUAAACUCCUGUCGCUAGGGACGAAGCGCAAGUGACGGUACCUGGAGAAGAAGCACCGGCUAACUACGUG